rnacentral:lncRNA from 1 species
GAGCGGGGCGGGGCCCGGGGGCAAGAUGGCGGCCUCGCGGCGAGGUCGCAGAUGUGUGAGCAGAGGAAAACACCCGUGGAACUCCGAGCCAGGGCACGCCGGGGCCAAGGGUGACUGGACUGUCUUCCAAGCAGGCCUCCGGCUCAGAAGACGCUGUCGCGGGAGGAGGGACCCCGCUGCCUCUGGGGCACCCUCAUCUCAAGAUGACGGGAGAGUGGGUACCUGUUGUGGGUAGGAGAGGCUCCAAGAGGCGCACGAGGAAAAGAGACUGGAUUGCUGGCUCGGAAGUUCUCACUUGGGAGACAUACUUGGGGACAUGCAUAAAAUCUCAGAAGAAACCAAGUGUCUGUUAUCAGUGACAAAGACUUCUUUUCAUCUGCACAUGUGGCAAAUACGCAGAAGCCACAGGAGAUGAGCUGCAUCUCCUUCCCUGACAGUGGAGUGGAUCUAAGCUUUGCCUCGUGGGUACACCCUGCCUCCAGGCCUCAGGUUCAGAGAGGCAGGUGGCCAGCCUCUCCUUGGAGGGACCGGUGCAGAAGUGCUGGAAAGGAACGAAGCUGCAGGCCCUAAACACCCAGUGAAGGAGUUCCCGCUGUGCCACAGCAGGGAGAACUUCUGCCACGGUGGUAUCCUGCUGCUGCCGCCCUCGUUCAGCCAAAGACCAGGCCAGGCGACGUCGGCCCUCAGCUCCCGCUUUUUGCUCCUUUGAUCCCCUGCCCCCAGCCCUGCCUUUGGAGUUGAAGCGCUGCUCCAUCUGAGUGGGGCGUGUUACUCUCUUUACUUCCUGGCCACGCUCCUGCUGAUCGCGUAUAAAAGCCAAGUUUUCACCUAUCCUCACGGCUUCCUGGUCCUUGACCUGACUCUGCUCUUCCUGAUGGGGAUUCUGGAAGCAACGCGGCUGUACCUCGGCACCAAGGGCAACCUGACGGAGGCCGAGGUGCCGCUGGCCGCCAGCCUGGUCCUGACUGUGGGCGGCACCCUGCUGGCCAUCUACUUCCUGCUCUGGCAGACCCUGGUGCUGCGGGCAGACUGGGUCCUUGGCGCCACGCUCCUGGUGCUCCAUGGCCUGGAGGCCGUCCUGCAGGUGGUGGCCAUCGCCGGCUUUGUCAGCUAGGCCCCUGCGGCAGCCCCGGCCAGGAGCCCUUCCUGAGGGUGAGACGGCCUGCCAGCCGUUGCCCAGGGGGAGGGCGUCCUUCUGCUGAUGCGCCAUGACCUUGGAGGGCCUGGCGGCUUGGGUGAUCUCUGAGUCCUUGAGGCGGAGAUGGGCUCAGGAGCCAGGGCAGAGCAAAAUGCUGGGGCAGGCGGGGGCCCAGCGGAAGCCGGGACUGCCCGGGCGUCCUCCUCAGGAAGCGCAGGCCCCGCUUGGCUGGCAGGACCUCCAUUCAGCAACCGCCCUGCCCCCUGGGCCGGAAGGCAGCGAGGGGCCGGGGACGAGCCCCGGGCAGACGCUGCUCUGCCUCUUCCACGAGAGAGUAAUGCCAGAGAGCCAGGGCUUCUUCCCCCCGGGGACACAGGAAAGGCGAGCUUGAAGCGCCAGUGCCCAGGGGACAGAGCGCCUCCCUCAGCAGGACGUUGGCCCUGGGCACCGGGGACUUCGCCAGGGGGACCUUUGCCCACUCACAGACCCACUCCAGUGCCUCUGGAAGAAACCUGAGCUGAUGUUUUCUGGCAACUUUCAUUUGUUUCAGUUGUACAUUUUCUGUGUUUGGAAUAAUACCGUGUUUGAAUAUCUAGACAUUUUUCUCUUCACUGUAGUUUUUAAAUAAAGCGUUUAUCCUUCCCU